CCCGCGCGCGCACGACGGUCCACGAACGAAUAAUCGCGAUGUGGUGUAACGCGGCAAAAUCUCUUUCAAAUUAGUCAAGUUAACACGCAUUUGCGAAUUUGUUAGAAAUUUACACACAUCCAUCGUUCAAGACCUAUCAUUUUAAGUCAAAGAAAAUUGAAAGCAACUCGACUUCAUUUAAAGUUUGAAAAAAUAUUUGAAAACAAGUGACAAGUUUAUAUUGAUAAAGUGCUUUUAAGAUACUUGAAUAUCAUGGAAUUUGGGCAAUCUGAGGUUAUCAUAGAUCGAUGACAGGCUGCAGUUGAACGCGCCUGUUCACGGACGCUUAUGGUCGUAACCGACAAAAAGGCUUGGUCGUCACGCGCAAAACGACUCGUCUCAGUGCAUCGAUGCUUAUCGCGAUUGGUCAAAUAUUUCCGGCCGUUCGAGCCGGCCAUUCGCCGAUUCGAUUUCCCGGAUUCCAUGUAUGAACGGCACACGAUAACGCGGUGCUCGUUUAGAAGUGUCCUUCGGUUUACGUAACCUACAAUUUUACACAUGUUCGUGUCUCUCCGUUCUUCUUCGAUAAAUAUUGUUUCUAACGAGGACGUGACAUUAUGUUUCUCGAGCGAUCAACGAACCGAUUCUGAAUCGUAGAUUUAAUAAAUUUCGAUUAUAAUAGAUUGAAAAAAUUUUCAAUCAAGGAUUGAGCAAUAUCUUUAAUAUUUGGAAUGAUUAAAUUAUAACGUUCAGGAAAAUAUCAUAUUUAAUAUGUAAUUGGUUAAUUUACCGCUUAAAAACUAUAAUAAUUAUUUUUAUGAUACUA